rnacentral:piRNA from 1 species
UGCCGAUGGACCUGUGAGUAAAUACUAUC